AGACGUUCUUUGAAAGGGCGUCGCGUGAGAUGCAAAGUGAUCCGUUUGAAUUCGACACUAUUCUUUAACUUAUUAGUGAAUCUCGCAGCGAGGCGAGGAGAAGCGCAUAACAAACUUUAAUGUUAAGUGCAGUUAAAGUCCUUAACUCAGAUCUAGAGUCCACGUGUCUAACUGUCAGAGUCCCCGGCCGGCCCUAACGAGCCCCACCGGCGCUAACGAGGCAACGACUCCCAGCUGCCGAGGGGCCGCGGCCUCCCGAGCACAGCUGCGCCUCGUUCGCAGCGCGGGGCGGAUCCGCUCCAAAGCCUCUUAAGCUCCGCCGGAGGCCGCUGGGAGCCACGAGAGGGCUGCCGGAGUGCAUCGUCUGCGGGAGCGGGCUCCGUUUCUGUUGUCCGGUCGUUAUGCCGCCGGGGCUGCGAAAGCUCCGCGAGGGGCUGCUCUUAGAACGGGACCUUGGGAUUCUUUGUAACGUUCUCUGCUGUUGCGUUGUUUUGUUUCAGGUUGUGGAGAGCCGUCUCCCGGUAAAGAUCAGCGCGAACCGGUGAAUCGUUCUGGUGGCGGCGGGACCGCGGAAGCGGCCGGUGCUCGGGUCCGUCCUCUCUCGCCGGGCUCCGUUCGGGGGCCGGCACGGGGCUUCCGCCGGGCUGCCCCGGCUUCUCGGAGCCCGUGUCACAUCGGCGCCCGGCUGCCGUCGCGUUUUCGGAGGGAGCUGCCGCUCGGUUCUCCGAGUGCCAACGCGGUCCUGAGGGCUCUCAGUCCCUCUGGGGCUUUUCAGCGGGGACUUCAGUUUCUCCCAGUCUUAUCGGCUGAGCGGAGGUUGCAGCAGAACCUCUCGUCAUCCGGACUCGGUGAGAUGGCGGAAGCGGCGAGUGUUUGGGAGUCACUAGCUUCAGGAGCCUGAUCUCAUUCCACGUCAUCAUGAAGACGUGGUGGGAGAGCUCACACGACUGAAAUGCUGUUGUGGAUGGCCGCGUUCCUUAUAGGAGAGACAAACGGGUGACAGCUGCAAGUGACCUGACGAGCAAAAAUUUCGAAGUGGUCAUGGUGAAUUCGGUGAGGGGAAAUGAUGCUGGACCAAGGAGGUAGCCUUCUGUGUUGUGACUGGUUAGACGAGAGAAGGGCUGCGGAAGGUAUGGGGGGAAUAUCUUAACUGUCGGUAACUAUCUGAAGUGCAGGAGUCUUGCUGACGGUGACGACGGGCUCAUUCAGGCACCGACAGGAGGCGUGAGGUGGAAACAUUCACAGACCGGAACGUCAAAAGGAAUCGGCCCCGGACGACAUCGUCGCAGGGCGAGUGCCGCAACGGAUCAUUUAGCAGCGAGGAUCCGCCUGAGCGUGGGAGCGGUUUCACCGGCGGUGAGCGACCCGAGGGCUGCCCUCCCCCAGCGUCCUCUGAGAAGCGGUUCACGGAGCUCUCCUGCGUGUCCAGGGCCGGAGCGAGGAUCGCGCUGGUGAGGGAAGCGGUGUCCUCCGGUGCCUGAUCUGUGAGUGCUGCUUCCAGGCUCGAGUUUCCAGCUGGGAUCGGGUGCCCUGGGACACAAGUUUUUGUUUGAGGGUGUUGGGGUGUGUGGUUUCUUUUUUGAGUCUUCAAGGUGCGUGUGGUGGCUCUACUGCUGGAAGAAUGGAAUUGACAGACUGAGGGGAGAAGCGCAGCCUGCAGGAUUCUGUCACCUGUUCCUGCGGGGAGCUUGGUGAGGUCCACCUUGGCCAAGGUGUUGCAGCAGGCAUCCUGAGAGGAAAGUCCCUGUUCUCGGCUGGCAGGCGUGGUGCACCCACGGAAGGAGCAGAGGAGAGCCCCCAGUGGGUGUAGCGGUGGAGGUCGGUUAGUGUAUGGGCACUGCUGAAUGACGGUCUGAACCUCUGACCACCUACGUGAGCACAAGUGAAGGCAAUUCAGCUGCCCUCCUGGAAGGGGUGGAGCCUGGCUGCACCUCUCUGAGAUCCAUUGAAGAGCUGACUACGAGUGUGGAAGGAUCUCUUGGAGUCUUCCCUGUAAGCCUGGAAAAAGGUAGGAGAUGGAGUUGGGUUCUGUGUCCUGCAGAAGGAGAAAACUCGGUUUAUUUCAAGCCCCAGAUGUGAAUGCCCUGUGUUGUGUGUGAGAACUGGAACGCCUAUGAAUGUCUGUGCUAACAUGGAAUGGCCAGGCUCAGCUAGCUCCAGUUCUUGUGGUGAAGUGGAUGCCUGCCUGUCUCUGACUGCAAACAACACUGUAUUUCUGGAUAGAAGUUUCUUGAGCUUCCUGAGCUCAAAGGCGGGUAACCUGAACUAGUGCUUCUCGGCAAAACCCUUUUGUGUGGAAUCUUGGGAAGCUAGUUACUGUGAGCCUUUGUCCCCAGCUGGGGCUGAGCUCUAACGUGAAUGACAAAAAUACGCUGUGCUUACUUCUUGAGCUUGUCUGGCUCUCUUUGGAUUGCAUCCUCUUCCUCACAUGCAUUAGCUGCGUUGGACAGUGUGGGGUCACCUUCAAGCUUGCUGAGGAUACAGUUGAUCCCACUGUUGGUGUCGCUGAUGAAGGUAUUAAAGAGCAUCAUCGCUGUUUGGCUUCUAGGCAUGGAUUUGUUUUCCUCAUCCGCUGAACAGCCUGGCCAUCAAAUCUUUGCAGUGCUGGAGAGAAGGUUGUUGUGGGGGACAGUGUCAAAAGCCUUACCGAAAUCCAGGCAGUUGACAGCAGCAGCUCUUGCCUGGUCUGCUCACGCCGUCGUAGGAAGAAAGGCCAGUAGAUUGUUCAGGUGGAAUCCACCCUUGUUGAAGCCAGCUUGGUCUCAUUUCAUUUCUCUCCUCCGUGUGCUCUAGCGCGGAUUCCGGGAGGAUCUGUUCCACGAUCUCCUCCAGCACGGAGACGAGGCUGGCAGGGUGGCAGUUUCCUAAGGCCUCCUUUAUACUCCUCUUAAAAAUCAGCAGGACGUCACCCUCUUUCCAGCCACCGCGAGGACUUCACUCGAGUGCCCUGACUCCUGAAAUCCCGUCGACAGUGGCUUGGCAGCUGCGUACACCGAUUCUCUGAAGGCUCUGCUAUGCGUUUCGUUGGGACCCGCCAGCUUCCUCAAGUGGCUGCGAAGCUGAUCUUUGCUUACGGUGGGAGGGAUGCGGUCCUCACCUUUCGGCCGCUGCACCCAGGGGGCGGUGAGGAGCAGCUGACAGUAAACAAGGAGGCAGAAGUGUUGUUAGGUACCUCAACUUUCUCCUCUUCUAUUAUUAACAGCCUGGACUUUGUUUGUUUUGUCUUGUUUACCUGUGUUUUUCUUGCUGCAAAUUUGUCAGCAUCUAUUGAAGUAACACAGGGCUCUCUCAGCAAUGGAAGCAAUACUGCCUGGGGGAUAAACAGUUACUAGCAUUCUAGAAACAGCAAAACUGAAGUUACCAGUCUUGUACGUGUUUCAAAGGUGCUAAAAUGUAAACCUCUGAUAGAAAAAAACAAAUAAUUAGAAAGUCAGUCACUGCACUGUGAUGCUGCAGGUGCUGGCGUUUGCUUUAUAAAACAAGACCUGUCAUAUCAAAUGUAGAACUGUAGAUAAAUGCAGAAAAGAAUGUCUCCUUGGCAAUAAACAAAAUGCUGGUACAGAUCUGAGUGGUGGUGACUUUCUGCUGUGCAGUGUGGUGAUACGGCAGUGCUCCAUGCUUGCAGGAACGCUGCAAAAAGCAGCAGCUCUAACUGAAUUUCAGGGACAUUAAGAACCAAGUUUCAC